AAAAUGUUAUUAUAUUUUGCACAACACUUUGUCUAUCCAAACCAAAAUUACAAUAACAUUUAAUCACCAAGCAAGAUAUCGUAUACCACUUUCAUCAUAGAUAUUUUUUGGUACGUAAGAACAAACUGAUUUGCCAGCAAAGCUAUGCUAAUAACAAAUUCUCUGGAGACUUCAAUGGCUGAAAGUUUGCAACAUAGUAGUAUGCGAAUAUAGAUAAAAAAUGAAGAAUUUAUGUAGCUUACGGAGCAAUGCUCAAUACAAAGAAAAACAGUAAAAUCAUAUGCAUAAUAUGGUGAUAUUGGUAGUUUGUUACUUUUACCAGCAAAGAAGAUAAUUUGUGUACGAAAUGAACCAAAUUCUAGUUACUUGACGUCCAAACUAUUCCAGUUGACGGCCUUCCUCAUGCAGCCUUGGUCCAAGCUAGCAAGCUCAUCUUUCCUAUUAGGGUUGAACAACAAACCAAAAUUAAAUGCAGUUAGCCUCAGCUUAUGGACUUAACUAAAACCUCACCUUUGACAGUCCAAUGGGCUAUGUUCUGUGGCACAACACAUACAUACAGGUAUUCCCUUAAUUAUUAAUUUAUGCUCAAUAACUCUGCAGAUUGAAAUGCAGUUAGCCUCGGCUUAUGGACUUAAAUGGUCUAGUAUAAACUUUUACCUACCUUGUGAUGACGGGGGAUUUUCACAAUCACAUCAUAACCCAAAAAAGGAUAGAGAUGGGCAGAGACCAUGAGAUCGCCAUAAUUAACUAAGCACGACAAACAUACAAAUGAAAAGUAUCGUCAAGCAUAAACUGGGGAAUUGACAUUCAUCACGUGCCUUACCAAAAUUGGUUGUGCCAAUCUCACAUUAGAAGUCUGUGCCAAGACCAGGAUUAGAUGUUGAUGCAAUGCAUAUGCAUAGAUUGCGGU
rnacentral:lncRNA from 1 species